AUGUUAUAUGAAACAAGAAGAGGUUAGUGAUCCCCCUGAUGAGAAUGGAAGAGGUCUUAGUUGCCUUUACAUUACAUAUAUGGUGCCAUCCACUCUAUGGCAUGUAAUUAUGUUU
rnacentral:ncRNA from 1 species